rnacentral:rRNA from 1 species
AACGAACGCUGGCGGCAUGCCUAACACAUGCAAGUCGAACGAGACCUUCGGGUCUAGUGGCGCACGGGUGCGUAACGCGUGGGAACCUGCCCUUAGGUUCGGAAUAACUCCCCGAAAGGGGUGCUAAUACCGGAUAAUGUCUUCGGACCAAAGAUUUAUCGCCUUUGGAUGGGCCCGCGUUGGAUUAGCUAGUUGGUAGGGUAAAAGCCUACCAAGGCGACGAUCCAUAGCUGGUCAGAGAGGAGGAUCAGCCACACUGGGACUGGGACACGGCCCAGACUCCUACGGGAGGCAGCAGUGGGGAAUAUUGGACAAUGCGCGAAAGCCUGAUCCAGCAAGGCCGCGUGAGUGAUGAAGGCCUUAGGGUUGUAAAGCUCUUUUACCCGGGAUGAUAAUGACAGUACCGGGAGAAUAAGCUCCGGCUAACUCCGU